GCGAGGUCCAGGGGCAUCGCCAGGAACAGCUACCCUGCUGUUCGCCUCCUCGCCGGCGGCUCCUCCCUCGCGGCAGCGCCCAGUACGUCGAGACGGCGUGGCCCCAUGAGCUGCUACUCUGUCGUUCCCCUCCCCCUCCUCGCCGGCGGCUCCUCCCUCGCUACAGCGCCCAGUACGGCGAGACGCCGGGGCUGCAUGGGCACCGCCAGGUCAACGGCUAAUACGGCGAAGCAGCCAGGGCCGGUCCUAAGAUUUCGGGGCCCGCGGCGAAAGUUUAAUUCGAGGCCCCUUAAUACAAAUACUAAAAGGGGAGUGCUACGCAUCCAUCGGUAGAUGUAUAAUAAACAUCCACCGUCAUGAUAACCGCUGGAUCUCCGCGCGCGCAGUCGUCCGCAGCCAUCCGAUCUAAGUCCUCACACGUGACUCGGUCAUCUUCCUCAACACAUUAAUUCCUGAAACAACAAAUCAGUUGCGGAAACAAUCGCUCUGUUUCGGCCUCGAUAGAGCUGCAGACGGCUAUAGAUUUUUUUUCUGUCAUAAAGAUUUAAUACGGGGUGAUCAACAGAAUGAGCGG
rnacentral:lncRNA from 1 species